AGAUGGCAUUAUAGCUGAAACUUUUGUUUUUUAUUAUAUUUAUAUUUUUGUUUUUGUUUAUAUAUAUAUAUAUAUAUAUAUAUAUAUAUAUAUAUAUAUAUAUAUAUAUAUAUAUAUAUAUAUAUAUAUAUAUAUAUAUAAUGUUUUUUUUUUUUUGUUGGUGUUGGUGUUGGUGUUUUGACAAUUAAUGGUGAUCUGGACAUAUGCUUCACAGGUUUUCAUAAAAUUUACCAAGACACCCCUGAGAUGGCAUUAUAGCCUCAUCUUGGUGUGAAUCAUCAUCACUCAUUUAAUAAGGUUAUGCAAUAUGAAACGUGAUGAUUAAAGAUAAUUAACCACUUAGCCUCAGUGCACAUUAGAAUCUCAGUUUCAGUGAAGCUCAGUUUUAAAAAGUGAUAUAAGGACAUUUAUUAACAGAAUCCAGUAAGAUAUUCUUUGAUGCAGUCAGACACAUUAAUGACCCCAGAGGGGCAAUUUAAUAUUGCACAUUUCCUUACCAGAAUUCGAGCCCAGACCUUGCUAGUGAGAGCACCAAAUCCACAGCACCAGAAAUGCCAUGUGUGUAUUUCUUUUAAAUGAGCUACAUACCCCUUAUUAAAAAAAUAAAUUGACGCACAGGUCAUACAAGUCAUAUCAGAAUGUGCAUCCAGUCUUACUAUAUAUGUUCUGCUUUAUUUCCUCUUCUGCACUGUAUUUUGUACUAUCAUGAAUUCAAUGUGAGCAGUGGAAGUAGUUUCCAUAUUUACUAGAGGACUGCUUGACUGCUAUUGCAUUGGACAGAACUUAUUUUAUUCACAAUUUAUAAUUCAGGAAUGAUGUCCAUCUUCUCUAAACCACACUGGCCUUGCAUAUUUUCACAUCCUUUUAUAAAACAUACUGCAAUAGUCAGUCUGCCACCUACAAAUGUUCUCUCCAGUUUGACCACUUACCAGACUAACAAACAGUCUGAGGUGAAGAACAACAGCUUACAUAAGGUAUUUCUUCAGUGGCCUACAAAAGAGCAGCAUUGCUCCAGCUCCUGACUUAUGAAAGCAGCAGGUGGCCGCGAACACAACAAGUGCAACAAUGAAAACUCCUGCCAACUCAUGAUGACGCACGUCUGCAUGGAAGACCGAUUGGUUCUUAGAACCCAGAUACGGAGUGACAAAUGGGAAGAUGACCGUCUGGUCUCACACUGCUGUACCUUCUGCUGCUGACUGACAACCACGCUGUUUUAGUACCUCAGAUGUAUGCCUCCUGUGCUCCAAAUACUAAACUAAAUGCAUCUACUGUACUCAUAUUUUCUUGACCAACCUCUUCUGUCAUCAUCUUUGACAAUGUGUUUAUUCCCAAAUCAGCUGAUGCUGUAUACAGUUCCUUUCGCAUUUCAG
ensembl:lncRNA